UUUAUUAUCAGCUUGCAGAAAUUUAAUAGGAGAAAGGAAAGUGAGAUUUAAUAAAAGAAUUUAUUUACAGAUGAGCGAAGUUUUCAUUUAAGUAAUACGAGUUGAUCAAUUCUCUCCACUGUUAUUAUUCAUUAUAUUGAUUGAAGUAGCAAUAGUAUAGUGAUAGUAACAGCAGUGGUAAUAGUCUAAGUAGUAAGAGUUAAAGAAGAGAAUUUAUUAUCAGCUUGUAGAAAUUCAAUAGGAGAAAGGAAAGUGAGAUUUAAUAAAAGAAUUUAUUUACAGAUGAGCGAAUAUUUCAUUUAUGUAAUACGAGUUGAUCAAUUCUCUCCACUAUUAUUAUUCAUUAUAUUGACUGAAGUAGCAAUAGUAUAGUGAUAGUAACAGCAAUGGUAAUGAUCUAAGUAGUAAGAGUUAAGGAAGAGAAUUUAUUAUCAGCUUGCAGAAAUUUAAUAGGAGAAAGGAAAUAAGAUGAGAUUUAAUAAAAGAAUUUAUUUACAAAUAAGCGAAUUUAAUCGGCAAGAGUUGUGUGAAUGAAAAAUGAAGUAUUAAACGUGUUUAAUAAAUGGAGUUACGGAUAAAUAGAGAAAUAUAGUUUUCUUCUAUCUACCAACGUAUAGAGAAGUCAUAUUUCAAGCCUUAGAAACAAAUGUGCCCCAGUGUCUGACGCGUCCCGGAUAAUGUCGAAAGCCUGGAAACGUUUGGAGUUUGACGAAGUUGCGGGACAAUUUGCGGAACUUCGGAUCGAUUCAUGCCCGUUUCGAAAUUAAAUCGCAAGCGUGGCUUAAAAGAGAGCAGAGUGGUGCAACGAUGAUCAGCGAUGAUGGAUUUCUUCUAACGAGAACAAAGCACGGAAAACUUUUAACUGUUUGCAGGAGUAAAACAAUCUUCGUUUGAAAUUUUUCCCAAUAUUUUUGUACCAAUAUUAGAGGAAGAUAUAACAGAUUUCAACUUUAUAUCGAAACACGUUUCAUUUCCAUUAUAAUUACUAUUACUAAAGAAAAGAUAUUGAAACUUGCUAAAAAUAAAUUGGGAACAAAA